ACAAGGGCAGACUCGGCCCACAUCGGCAAGUAAAGAAGGGGUAUAGCCUCUCCUUUCCUCAUUUCAAUACCAAACACCCCCUUACGCGUUUCUCUCCCUCACCAUGGAGAAAAACCCUAGCCGGCUCAUUGCGUUUUUCUCUCUCUUACAUCGUUUGCCGGAAAUAGCAACGGUUUGUGGGCCCUCAAGGCAUCCUAUGGACUCGGUGUGGAUGAAAAUGGCAAGAGAAUUAAUUGCUCUGCCAUUUCUCACCUAUUACCACCCGAAGACCACUCCAAACACGGUAUAAUUCGCCUCUCUCUUCACUUUUGCUGCAAAUCAAACAGUCAUUGACUGAAUUUUCUUAAUGGUUUUUGAUUGUUGUGAUUUUGAAUUCUCGAUUCUUCUUGGUUCAGGGAAGACCGAACGGAUCAACCCAUUUUUGGCCAAAUCUGGCCAUAGAUUUGUUUGUUUGCUUGAUUCCCUACCGUAGACGUGGUUUUGGAGAGAUGUAAUUCUAAGAAUUACAAGACUCCCACAUCGGGAAACCCUAGGUUUUGGGGAUUUUGGGGGUUCUAUACAAAGAACCCCAAUUCAUAGUUUACACAAGAUCGAAUAUACUACAUAUUCACACAAAACUUGAAAUACCUAGGGUUUUAGCAAUUUUUGCUUGAGACCUUUAAUUUUUCAAGUUAGUCCAAAUUUUAAAAGUUUUUUUUUUUGUUUCUUUGUUGUGUUUGAAAUUUUGAGCAUUGGAGGUUAAGGAAGCAAAGGUUUCUUCCAAGUCCAAUUCUCGAAUAUCGGCUGCACUCACAAAAGCCUGUUGCGUGUGAAACCUUGUGGGCCACUGCCUUCAGCUCGAAACCAAUUAGGCCUGAGGCCCAGUUCUUAUUCAUUCAAUCGAGUCUGAUGAAGAAUAAGGGAAGCUAAUAUAUUGAAGGCGCACCUAUAGGUGAAAAUAGGCAAUUGGUGGGCUUAGGUAGGCCCACCAGCCUAAACUCUUCUCUUUUUCUUUAUAUUCAUGUGUAAAGUAAUAUGUAAAGAUUUGUGUAAUAUUGAAACCCUUAUGAAUGUUAGAACUUAGGAAAAAACGCUUAAUAUUAUUAGGAAGUCGUCCAAAUGAUUUUCAAA